CACACCGUAAACGUUGGGCGCUAGGUGUGGGAUCCAUUCCACGGGUUCCGUGCCGCAGCUAACGCAUUAAGCGCCCCGCCUGGGGAGUACGGCCGCAAGGCUAAAACUCAAAGGAAUUGACGGGGGCCCGCACAAGCGGCGGAGCAUGCGGAUUAAUUCGAUGCAACGCGAAGAACCUUACCUGGGUUUGACAUACACCGGAAAGCUGCAGAGAUGUGGCCCCUUUUAGUCGGUGUACAGGUGG
rnacentral:rRNA from 1 species